AGCAGUAGCCACGGUAAUACGGAGGGAGCUAGCGUUGUUCGGAAUUACUGGGCGUAAAGCGCACGUAGGCGGCUUUGUAAGUUAGAGGUGAAAGCCUGGAGCUCAACUCCAGAAUUGCCUUUAAGACUGCAUCGCUUGAAUCCGGGAGAGGUGAGUGGAAUUCCGAGUGUAGAGGUGAAAUUCGUAGAUAUUCGGAAGAACACCAGUGGCGAAGGCGGCUUACUGGCUCAUACUGGACGCUGAGGUGCGAAAGCGUGGGGAGCAAACAGGAUUAGAUACCCCUGUAGUCCCUGUCUCUUAUAC
rnacentral:rRNA from 1 species